AUGCGAGAUGUUGAAAGAAAUCAGCAUAAUGACAAUCAUAGAGACUGUUUAAAUAGUCCAUGUAAGCUGAACAUUCGAUCAUUAAAGAUUGCUGUAGGAUACCAUUAUUAUUGAAUCGUUUAUCAAGGUCUGAUCUUGAUAAAGAGAUCAUACCGGCUAAGACAGUGUACUGUACAAUAUCCUUGAACGGUAAUAAUUCGUAUGAUUCGAAGGUAGGAAUGCAAUCUAAUAAAAGGGAAACGGCACGAGUGAAAUUUCUUACGGCCAAACAAUAGAGCGCUUCGUAUGCCUUCAAUUUAUUUCGACAACACCAAUUGCUACCCAUAUUGCAGGAUACUAAAAAGAAAUCAUUGAAUAUUAAGUUCUUUUGUUCUUAAAUUUUUUAAUUAAAAGAAAAGAAAAAAAAUGAAUAAAUGAACGGAAUCGUUGACGUUGACAGUGUUAUAAUGAAUGAAAGAUUGGGAAAUUCAAAUUUUAUUAUUUUUGUGACGCGCAUGAACGCUCUAUUCGAAAAAAUCAAGAUGUUAAUUACGCCAUAUUUAAGUGAAAUACAAAGCGCGGGAUCGUAGCUAACCUUAGAUUUACUUUCUAAUAACGAGCAUUUGAGUGAUAUUAUGGCUUCUGAUAACAAAACAUUUACGAAUUUGCCAUGGGUUGAAAAAUAUCGACCUAAAAAGUUGGAGGAACUCAUCUCUCACGAAGAAAUAUUAAAAACAAUUAAUAAAUUCAUUGAUGAGAAUCAACUUCCUCAUCUUCUACUUUAUGGACCACCAGGCACAGGAAAAACCAGUACUAUAUUAGCUUGUGCAAGGAAACUUUACAAACCUGCGCAGUUUAAUUCUAUGGUGUUAGAAAUGAAUGCAUCUGAUGAUAGAGGAAUAGGUAUAGUCAGAGGACAAAUAUUAAAUUUUGCGAGUACAGGUACUAUGUACAGAUCUGGAUUUAAGUUGAUUAUUCUCGAUGAAGCAGACGCUAUGACAAAUGAUGCUCAAAAUGCUCUUAGGAGAAUUAUUGAGAAGUAUACAGAGAAUGUACGCUUUUGCAUUAUAUGUAAUUAUCUUGGUAAAAUUAUACCAGCUCUUCAGUCAAGAUGUACUAAAUUUAGAUUUGGUCCUUUGCAAUCGGAACAAAUUUUACCAAGACUAAAUGAUGUUAUAGAGCAGGAAAAUUUAAAAGUAACAGAUGAUGGGAAACAAGCAUUAAUGACAUUGUGCGGUGGAGAUAUGAGGAAAGUACUAAAUAUACUUCAGAGUACUUGGUUAGCUUUUGGAUCAGUUACAGAGGAAACAGUAUAUUCUUGCGUUGGACACCCUUUACCAGUUGAUAUAAAAAAUAUUGCAAACUGGUUGUUAAAUGAAUCUUAUGAAUUAUCCUAUUGUAAAAUACAAGAUCUAAAAAUUAAGAAAGGACUCGCAUUGCAAGACAUACUGACUGAAUUGCAUCAAUUUGUACAUAAAAAUAUUUUUAAGUUGAAUUCCCAGAUCACAUACUCAUAGAUUUAGUGAUAAAAAUGGCUGAAAUCGAAAAAAGGGUAGCAGUCGGAUGUAGCGAGGCAGUACAAUUAAAUGCUCUCGUGGCGGCUUUUCACAAAGCACGAGAGAUAGAUUUUUGAAAAAUAUUUACCGUCAGUAACCAACAAUGUGUCAGGUCGCUUCUAUUUAUACAACACGAUAGUAUCUUAUAAUCUUUAAUUACAUUCUGUCGUGAAUCUUAUCUACGAGAUGGAUCUCCCCGAAUUGGAUGUCAAAAUCUACAACGUAAAAUCGGUAGAGUCAUCGUGUCAUUCUUUCCAUAAAUUUCCCUUAGCUUGUAAAUUCAUCUGUGCCUAUCGCUUCUCGUAUACCGGUAAUCGCACGAAAAGUGUAGACCUCAUUCUCCGGAUGAUAGUUCUUUUCAACAGUAAGUUUGUUGUGUAUGUAAAACAAUAUAUGUACAUAUAAACUGUAUAUAAAUUGUCUUGAGAAUACUUUACCGUCUUGACAAGUAUUGUCCGAUCUGCACGCGAUUUGCUGAUCGUUAUUUGAAGAUAAUUGUUUAUUAAAAAAAAUCAUGUUGAACACGAACUAUCUCGUAACUGAAAAAACUUGUCAUUGACGAGAAAGAAAGUCGAGAAUUUAUCGUGUAGCUCUUGCGUAAACUCUUUGCAAACUAUGAAAAAAACGUCGAUCCCUUUGAAAAUUGUAUUUUAAUUUACUUCGGCAUACAUAUUUAUAUAUCUGUCGAGCGAUCGAUGAAACUAACGCUCCAGUUCUUAAUGUCAAAAACAAAAGUCGACGUUAUCGUAAUGUUAUACACGGUAACGUGGUAUUCAUCGUAUUCAUAAAUUCGAGAAAUAUGGCUCUCUGUCUCUCUCUGUAUCUCUCUAUCUCCUGUCUCUAUGUUUCUCUCUCUCUCUCUC